UACGUAGGGGGCUAGCGUUGUCCGGAAUCAUUGGGCGUAAAGAGCGCGUAGGCGGCCAGAUAAGUCCGGUGUGAAAGUCAAAGGCUCAACCUUUGAAUGCCGCUGGAAACUGUCUGGCUAGAGUCCGGGAGGGGCGAGUGGAAUUCCUGGUGUAGCGGUGAAAUGCGCAGAUAUCAGGAGGAACACCAAUGGCGAAGGCAGCUCGCUGGAACGGUACUGACGCUGAGGCGCGAAAGCCAGGGGAGCAAACGGG
rnacentral:rRNA from 1 species